CCGGAAUUCACCCGAUUCUCUUUCUGUGAGCAAACAACCCAAAUCCUGGUAUCGCUGUUGUGUUUGUGGGACAACGUCUCGAAAAACACCAGACAGGAAAUUCUUCAGAUUUCCUAAGGAUCCUAUUAGCUUACAGAAUUGAAUGUACUCAUUGGUGGAAUAAUUCUGGAUUAAAGAGAUUUUUGGCAAAUUAAAAUUAUGUAAAAUCCAAGCAUACAGCAUUUUUAGAAUUAUUAUAGGUAUAGUGAAGGUGGAAAAUAGGCAUUUCUUGUAAUUGCUAUUUAAAAGAAUUAAUUUCUAAUUUCAUAAUUUGAAACAAUCUUCAUCAGGAUGAGCUGCAAUAUUUAUUUGAUUCAAUGGAUUAUUUGCAAAACUUCCAAGACUUUUUAAAUGUAAUCUUGUGUUUGUUAAUUUAAGUGAAAUGCUUUUGGCUCUUGGUUGCAAACUUUGCUCUUUUUUCAUAAUGGUCAUUCCAAAUAAUAAUUUUUUUUUUUCUUAAAUUUGAGGUCAGAUAAUUAUAAUGAAUUCAGCGUUUUCAAUUUAUUUAGGGGUACUUGUAAUUGUUUUUAAUUAUUUUUUCUGUUUUGGUUAGUUAUAUGCAAACUUUGCUUGUAAAAUUUUAAAUAUGGAGUUAUAAAAAUUUAUUAUGAAUUGUAUGUUAUGUGUUUUUUAUUUUGUAAGCUUACAGAAUGAAAUGCACUCAUUGGUCGAAUAAUUUGGUAUUAAAUAGAUUUUUGCAAAAUUAAAAUUAUGUAAAAUCCAAGCUACAUCAUUUUUAGAAUUAUUAUAUGUAUAGUGAAGAUGGAAAAUAGUCAUUUUUAUAAUUGCUAUUUAAAAAAAUCAAUUUCUAAUUUCAUAAUUUGAACUAAUCUUCAUCAGGAUGAGCUGCAACAAUAUUUAUUUGAUUGAGUGGAUUAUUUAGAAAAUUUCUUCCCAGGUUUUAAUAACACCUGGAAGGUUUGAUUUUCAAGUUCAGUAUUUAAUCUUAUAUUAAUAAAUGUAAGAAGUAUUGAAUAUUUUAUGAAAAAAUAAUGAAAUCACUUAUUUUAAUAAUUUAUGUGAAAUUCUUCAAAAGGCCUUUUAAGUGUAAUUUUGUAUUUCUUAAUUUAAGUGAAAUGCUUUUGGUUCUUGGCUGCAAAAUUUGCUCAUUGUUUUCAAAAUGGUCAUUCCAAAUAAUUAUCUAAAAAAUUUCUUGGUAUUUGUGAAGAUGCUUAAAAUUAUUUUGCAUAUGUAUAUUCUGAAACUUGAGAAAUGUCAAUAAAAAUCAUUUUUUUAA